rnacentral:rRNA from 1 species
GACGUAGGAUGCAAGCGUUGUCCGGAUUUAUUGGGCGUAAAGAGUUCGUAGGUGGUUCGUUAAGUCUGGUGUAAAAGACUGGGGCUCAACCCUGGGAUCGCACUGGAUACUGGCGGACUGGAGUGUGGUAGAGGCAAGCGGAAUUCCCAGUGUAGCGGUGAAAUGCGUAGAUAUUGGGAAGAACACCGGUGGCGCAAGCGGCUUGCUGGGCCAUAACUGACACUGAGGAACGAAAGCUAGGGGAGCGAAUGGG